AUUCCUACGGGAGGCAGCAGCUAAGAAUCUUCCGCAAUGGGGGAAACCCUGACGGAGCGACGCCGCGUGGACGAUGAAGGCCGUAAGGUUGUAAAGUCCUUUUGCAGGUGAAGAAUAAGCCGGGGAGUGGAAUGCCCUGGUGAUGACGUUAGCCUGUGAAUAAGCCCCGGCCAAUUACGUGCCAGCAGCCGCGGUAAUACGUAUGGGGCGAGCGUUGUUCGGAGUUAUUGGGCGUAAAGGGCGUGUAGGCGGCUCGAGAAGUCUGGUGUGAAAUCGCAGGGCUCAACCCUGCGGGUGCGCUGGAAACUGACGGGCUUGAGUCCCGGGGGGGAAGCUGGAAUUCCUGGUGUAGGAGUGAAAUCUGUAGAGAUCAGGAAGAACACCGGUGGCGAAGGCGAGCUUCUAUUCGAGGACUGACGCUGAGGCGCGAAAGCGUGGGGAGCAAACAGGAUUAGAUACCCUGGUAGUCCACGCUGUAAACGAUGUGCACUAGGCGUGGGGCACGUCGGUGCUCUGUGCCGAAGUCAACGCGAUAAGUGCACCGCCUGGGGAGUAUGCUCGCAAGGGUGAAACUCAAAGGAAUUGACGGAAU
rnacentral:rRNA from 1 species